GGUGGCUCAAAUUUACCUGAAGAAAAAGAGAGUUACUUGCAUGCAGAGCUAAGGUUAUUAUCAGACAGUUGGUUUAAACCAUCAGUGUAAAGAACUGGCCAAAGAAACACACUUCUCUCUGACCCUGUUCCCCUUCUAUACCCCCCAACUCACCCACCCGCCCACCACCCAAAAAGCCUGACAUUUCUGGAGCUAUUGAUACAGUUUGCUUCUUGGCUCACUUGUACCUAAAUCAAGUACUCUAUCAUGACUGUGUUAUCAGUCCAGAAACUUUAACUGUAUCACUGUGACCAGUAAUAUCUUCAUUUAGAAAUGAAAAUUGACAGUCUGUAGUAGCUUCACAAAGAGCUUGUUAAACCUUUCCUGUAUUUAUAGCUACAUAUAUUGUUGUAUAAAGAAAAGAUAAUGCUGUUCACUCACCUACUUCCCCCUCACUUUAGGAUACCAUUUUCCAUACAAAGAAGAACAAGUUUCUAGCAUAUUUUUCCCCAGUUUCGCUUUACGUAUAACCAACAUGCACUGAACAAGAAGAACCAAGUCUAAGUUGCAAGACCAACUGAGGAGGUGGCAACAAACCCAAGUAGCCAAAACGACUGAUAGAGCUGAAACACUAAUGAAGGACAGUCAAAAAGAGAUGUUUAAGCAUUUCCAUUGAUUUAAGAGGGUAACCAAAUCAAGAACCAAAAAACUGGACAAGGCAAGAAAUGUUUUCAUAUUUCUGAAAUGCGCAAGUUUGAGGUAAGUUUUAGAAGGUUCCUUAUCCUAACAGGAAAAACAUCUGAGUAUCCACUGUACAUCAGCUUAGAAAAAUAACAGAUCUGUUUGCUCUAUAUUUAGAGCAAACGGAUGAAAAGGUUAUAGUUCAGGGAAAUAUUUUUUCCCUGAGUUCUCAGCUUAGAAGACUAACUUUACAGCAAGAAAGUGCCUAAACAUCCCCCCCCAAAGGAUUUAGACUAACCAUGCCUACUUAUUACUUUCUAAAAUGUUGAUCUAGUGAACACUUCAAUUGGUGCUUUUGUCAAAUUUUGAAACCCAAACAGUACUUCCCCCCUCUCUUCUUGAUGGUGUUAUAUCAAGCACUUGGCUCAGUUGGUCACAGUUUUCUAAAUGCAAAGCAGAGAAUAAGGGGGGAAAAAUAACAAAAAAUUGUCAGUAAGAAAAAAAAAAAUCAAAAGAAAUCACAACCAUUCGUACAACUUCAUGGGCUAGCUUAAUAUGGUUCUACUUGGCAUACAAUUGUCAUUUUUCUUACAUUUUGGGGGUGAAGAAGGGUAGUCAUCCUUGAAAAGCAUCCGUAGUUUAAAUAAGCCUCCUUCCCAUGGUGUCUAUAAAAGAAGUUAAGGUAGAGUUUUGAUUACUGCAAAGAAAAGUCAAACGGUUUCUGAGCCAAAACAUAAGACACUUUCUUCUACACUGGAGGAAAACAACUGUCCCAUAUGAUAGUAUGCUGCCUACACUGACAUGAGUUAUCCCACUGACACAACAAGUUAAAAAAAAAAAAAAAAAAAAGCUUUUCCACUUCUUCACAGCCUCAAAGUGGUACUAAGACACCAAUAGAUCUGAUAAAAAAAUGAAUUCCAUAUACAAGUAUAAAGCAUGUAAGAAACAGAAUAUUUAAAAGUUCUAAAUUGUAUGCAUGUAACAAGGGAGACAUUAUAUGCCCACUUAAACCAAGUCUGAGAAGAUAGGAUACGUAUAUACCCCUUAAGCAGCUGAAUAAAAAUGGCUUCUAUUUUGCCAAUAUAUUUGCUCAACAAAAUGUGGGCAAAACAAUAGAGAGCACUGUAGUAUUGCUACAAUUAAGGUGAGAUUUACUAGUCUAAAUUAAUCUGCUUGUAUUUGGUAGCAUGUAGCUUUGCAGAUUACAUUUUUCUGAAGUUCCAAGAAGUUAUCAGAAAUCAAGAGCUUUGAAAAAAGCAAUUCCUGUGCUACACAGAUGACUAGGUAAAACAGCACUACUCAGUAGGGUCAUCUAAGAAACUAAAAACACCUAGGAAAAGACAAAAAGCACAUCUCAAAUAUAUCACUCCUUGCCAUCUUACUUGAAGAAAAAAAAAAAAAAAAAAAAAAGGAGAAAAGCCCUUUACUGACAAACUGAUUUCUGGUAAGAAGUGUAGAUAUACAGAAAAGUUCUUUAUAGAUGUAAAAUUCAGACCAUUUCUCCAUGAACUGCCCUUGCUAUCGGAUUACUGAAAGGGAAGUACAUGCUGGGUUGUUCUUAACAGGCAAACUGGAGUCGAGAUGGUCUUGCAUCUUAUCAAAGUAAAUGAUUAAAUCUCAGCCUCAGGUACAGACAGGUAUGACUGAAGACCACCUUAGGAGGAAAUACCCAAUUCUUCCCUACCUGAAUUAAAUGCUUUUUCCUGGAGAAGAAAAAAGGAAAGCUCUGCACAGUAAGUAACAGCAAAAAUGUAAAGAUUUGAGUUAGAAUGUGAAAAAAAAUUGUGUUAGAGAAUACUAAGGAAGCUGUUUUUAGAAGUGAAUGGGUUCGAUUACAUUUGAUAUAUUUAAAGAAAUGGUUCUGAACAGUCAGUUGUCAUCAACUGGUAAUAUCUAGUCUCUGUAACUUCUCAGAAGAGACUAACCUGUCAGUUUUUUAGAAGACUAGAAAGGAUAAACUUUUAUUUUGUUUGCUUUCAGUCUUACAACAGACAAGUUCAGUUGGAAGAAACCUACAAAGGUCAAAUCCACCUGCACGACCAUUUCAGGGCUAAACUAAAGUUAAAGCACAUUGAGGGCACCGUCCAAAUGCCUCCUGAAUGCUGACAAGCAUGAGGCAACAACCACCCCUCCAGGAAGCCUGUUGCACAGUUUGACCACCCUCAUGACAAAGAAUUUUUUUUUAACGUCUGACGCUCCCCUGGCACAGCUCUGUGCCGUUCCCAUGUGUCCUUGCCAGUUCCCAGGGAGAAGAGGUCUGCACCUCCCCUCCGCAGGAAGCUGCAGAGAGCAACAAGGUUGUCUCUAAACCUCCUUUUCUCCAGACUAGACAACCAAGUGUUCUCAAACUCUCCUCGCAGCCCUUUUAACAGCUUUGUUGCCCUCCUCUGGAUGCUUUCAAGUAUCUCAGUAUCAUUUUUAUACUGUGGAGCCCGAAAUUGUAUGCAAUACCCAAGGUGAAGCCACACCAACACUAAACAUAGGAGAAUCACCUCUUCUGACCACCAGGCUAUGCUGUGCUUAAUGCACCCCAACAUGCAGUUUGCCCUCUUGGCUGCCGGGGCAUGCUGCUGAUUUAUGUGGAGCCCGCUGUCCAUCAGCACCCCCAGAUCCCUUUUCUGCAUAGCUUCUCUUCACUCAUCUCCCAGCUUGUACCCCUGUCCAGCAUUACUCCAUCUCAAGUGCAGAACCCAGCAUUUACUUUUAACCUCUUCUUGCUGUUGACAUACUCAAGAACUUUUUUUUUUUUUUUUGUGGUAUGAUACCACACUGGCUAGCACUGAGCUUUAGCUUUUCUUGUUUUCUCCCUGCAGAUGUGAACUGCAGCUCUGUGUUCUCCCUGUGAAGCCAGACCUUGUUUCCAAGUCACAUUUUAGCCCACUUAGUCACUUUAGUCACUUUUUAGCCCAAGAUCCAGGAAGAGUUCCCUGUUCGGCCAGGCUUGUCUUCUGACCCAUUUACUCAUCUUGUGGCAGAGUGGGACUGCCCAUUCCGGAGUCUAUAAAAGGUAGUUCUUGAAAAGCAACCAGCUCUCGUGGACCCCCAAAUUCUAGAGCCAAUUCCAAAGGGACACUGUUAAAUUAGUUCCCUGACAAGCUUAAAAUUUCCUUUCUUAAAGUCCAGGGUGGCAACUCUUCAGACCUUUUUUCUUCUUAUACCAAAAUUUUCAAUUCAACUAUUUCACGAUCAUUGUGUACAAGCGAGCCAUCUACCACACAUCUCCUACAAGGCCUUUCCUAUUCUUGAACAACAGAUCCAGGAAGGCUAGUUGGCUCCCGCAGUACUUGUGACAGGAAGUCAUCGUUAGCAUAUUUCAGGAAUUUUCCAGACUUAUUUGUCAUGGUAAUAUGACAUUCCCAGUUUAUGUAUUGGAAGUUGAAGUGUCCCAUACGGAUGAGGGCAACCAAUCCAGAUGUUCCUCUAACUGCCUAAAAAAUAGCUCAUUUGCGCCAUCAUCCUUGGUAAACAGACACCCAUGACAAUAUCUGCUUUGCUAUAAGUCCUCUUAAUAAUCACCCAGAGCCUCUCUAUGGAAUCAUCCCUGAAGACAAAGGGCCUAAUCCCUUCCCUACUACAAACGCAACACACCCACCUUGCCUGCCCUGCCUAUCCGUCCGUAACAACCAAUAGCUCUCCAUUCCAGCACACCAGUCAUGGGAUACAUCCCAUCAAGUCCCACUAAUACCAACAAUAUACUCCAGAAAAAGACCAAAGCUUCCAGUUCAUCCUGUUUGUUCCUCAUAUUGAUGUGUUGGUAUAAAAGCAUUUCAGGUGUGCUCCUGAACCUGUAGUGCUCCCCAGAGCAGCAGAGAUACUCCCAUCAGCCAUGCCACCCUCAGACAGUGCUUUAUCCCUUCGCUUAAUCUCAGUGGUAUGCCCCUCAGGGGUAUCCCCCUCCCCCACCGAUCCUAGUUUAAAGCCCUCUCAAUCAGUCUUGAGAAAAGAUAAGUGGCUUUUAACAAACAGUUCAACUACAACAGAAGAACAGACAGUCAACAAACAAGUUGACUGCCUUUCUCAUAGAGCAACACACCUUACAGCUGUAAGAUAGCAGAUACUCAAAGGCCAUACUAAAAUAACAACAGUAGGCAUGCAGUAUCAUCUAGAUCUUCCUGCAUUACUGGACCAGUUACACAUAUAAUUUUCAAGUCAGAUUCUAGGUAGAAGUGAUUUGCUGUCAGAAAAGAGAGUGAAUGGAGAUCUCCAACCUAGCACUAAUACCACUACAAUUUUUUGAAGGGAUGCAAGACACGCACUCCUGAUGGCUCUUGUACAGGAGACAUUUCUUGCCCUUUUUCACUACUACAUAUACUUUCCUCGUAACCCCACACGCUGUCCAUGUGCCCAAAUCUGUCAUACAAUUGGUUAGAGACCCUCAGACGCGCAUCCAGCCAGCCAGCAACUGGCCACUGCCCAAAGCUCAUCUUUAACACUGUAGAAAAUUUAUCUCAACCUUGCUUAAGUUUUUGUUUCUACCACUUGUUUCCUCAUUAUCUCUAAUUCAGGGACGUGUGAAACAGCACGAAGCCACCUGCAAAUUCCUUUCCCACAAUUUUUCAUCUGGCUGAUGAGAAAGCAUAAUGGUGGUUUCAUCCAUUCUAUUGUCUGAGGGGAAACAGCUGCAGUACAGCGUGCCUCCAAACAGAAAGGCGAUAUACAGCAACUGUUUUUUUCCUGGUAGAGAUGAGCAGUGUAUACUGCUUCUUGCUGAAGAAAUGACAUUUUCACUUGAGUAAAAGACCCAUUUUUUUAAAAUUAGAUCCCUAUCAGAAAUUACAUGAAUCUAACUGAUACAUUCCUAAGGAAAGCAUUUCCUAGGAGGCAAGAAGUUGGUUUUAAGGGUUUUGUUUACUUUUUUGCAGUUUACAAAGCUUCAAAACAUUAGUAUGUAAAAUUCUCAUGCCAUAAGCUUUCAUAAGUAUUUAAAGGUGACAUAAGGUACGUAACUAUCCACUAUGAGGAAUACUCUUGUUUUAGCAGAACAUAAUGGAAUGAGGUUUUCCUUAUACUGCUAAGUUUUAUUUAUUUAUUUAUUUAUUUUUAGGUACUUCAAGAACUACCUUGAGUUAGGCAUUUUUCAAGAGUCAAACAAAAAAGCAGAUGUGUUAUGCAGACAUCUAUCAACUUACUGAGCUAAGUUAUAUCCUUAGCAGUAAUAUCAUGUUCAGCAUUAAACUAACUGAGGCAAUAGUAUGGAAUCUGCAUGUUUUGGUAACGAAGAAAGGAGAUCUUAAGGGAACAUAAGCAAGCCAGCCAGAAGUAGCAGUAGACCAGGCAAAGCAACAGUCCUCGUAUAUCCAAUGCAAGACACCAAAGAUGCAAAAAGAAUGAAAAGAAAGUAAUUAAAAGCAUUAUCCCAGAAGAUCAAAAUGCAUCCAGUGAAUUCAAGAAUAAUGUCUCCUUGCUAAAUAACUUGUGAAAAAAAAAAAAAAAAAAAAAGAAAAAAAAAAGAGAAACAAAAUCCUGCUCAGACUAAGUUAUACUGGUACUAUACAAAUCAAAAAAGCCUCAAGCAUUAAUAAUUAUCUCCACAUAAAGGUUUGUGUUAGUCUCAUCUGCUAGAACCAGACCAAACUGAUUAAAAUAACAAGGUCAAAGAAAAAAGUCCAGGACUAUUUAUUUUUUUAGGAGAAACACAAAUGAAAUCAGAUCAAAAGAAACUAUUUUAGAAAAUUCUAUUCUUAUUUCCCUAAUAUAAAAUGGGAAGACUACACAGAACUGAAGACAUUUAGUUUUCACGCUAGCAACUAUUAUUUUCCAUGAAAUUCAAGAAGUUGAAAACUGCUACUGUGUAGCACUUCUGUAGGACUGAAGAAUCUCACUAUUUAUCAGGCAAAAAAGGUACUGGCUGUUAACCAGCAGAAGCAAUCAUUGCUUUAGGGUUUACACCAUUGUUUAUCUCAAGUGUGUUCCACUCAAAUUCUUGAGAGGAAUGUGUAAGAAUCCUGUUUCUUAAGGUGAACAGUGCCAACAGCUGAACAGGCUCAUGGUGUAUUUUGUCCUACAGUAUGAUCCACGCAUUUACAUUAAACUAUGUUUAAGUUAUAUUCCUAUAGUCCUCAGCAUAAUAUACCAGCAGGCUUAUGAGAGUUUUCAGCAUAAGCGAAAAAUUAGGACAACAGUAAGUCUUACCCCUUUCUUUCCUGGAAUAGCACACUCCCAGUUCAUUAGAUUCAUUGUGCCAUCUGGAUUUUUUGUAGGUACUGCUACAAAUCCCUGAAAAAAGGCAAGGGAAAAAAAAAAAAAAAAAGAAUUUCAGAAGAAACUUACAAUACUUUAUGACACAUUUGCUCCUUACACAAAGUUAUUCCUUUGUGCACAAUGUAGUUUUAAGGAGCUUAUUUAAAAAAUAAAGUAACAUGUCAGGGAAAGAAAUCAUCAUAACAUGAAAACAGCAGCAAUAGUCAGAAAGUUAACAGAAUUUAUAUAUACUUACAAAUGGAUGAUCUUUUCUCCAGGCUUUUCUCUCCUGUGCAAGUCUACUGAGAGCUAUGCCAGACAUAUUUAGAGUCCCUCUAAAACAAAAAUGAUUGCUUUUAGUAUAACCUUUUAUUUACAAUGUAAAUAACAUAUUAUGUUCUCUUUAAAAGCUCUGAUCACUCAGGAAUUCCUUUGGCCUUCAAUUCUCAGUACUGUGCAAAAAUGUCUCUGCUACAUUCUGCAGAUAUUAACAUGGAGAAUAAUAUUGACACCCCCACCCCCCAUCCCCCCCAACAACCUCUUAGUUACUGGACCUGACAGAGCUUAAAAUACAAGGUAGGCAUAAUAUUUGAACCAUGUUUUCAAGAUGACUUUGACAAUAGCUUGACAACAGUAACAUUAUUAUUAAUGGGAAAAGGGCUCACGUUUCCUACGUGUGACUAACAAACACAUAACUACCUCCUUACUAUAUCACAAAGUUAUGGCUUUCUUCUGUAGACAAACGCCUGCACUGUUCCUAAUUCUCGCAAAUAGGAGAAUAAGAAAUGUCAAUUUUAGACCAAGCCCCUGCUAAAAGCCACAGUAUUUAUUAACAUCACCUCGGUUUUACUGUUGUGUCAUACAUGUUGUAUGAUUUGUAAAAAGCAGCAGCAAUAGACAGCAAGACAGAAAUCAACUGGGGAAGAAUCAGUGGCUCACUGAUUCCUCAAGACAGGUCCUUAACUCCUGUAUAAACUGAAUAACCCUUGAGCAUCUUCACCGCCUUCUUUACAGCUGAGCAAACAGUGACCAAGACUGCUGAAGAAAUACAUAUAGCACAGGUCACUACUACAGAUGACACAAGAACAGUUCUAUACAUGAUGAUUGCAAUAGAGUGACACUCUCAAAUUCGGGCAGGAUUCCACAUGGUCAAAAAAAAAUCCAAUGAAGGUUUCUAAUCCUCCUUCCUACUGCACUUCUACCCGUUUUAGAGUUAAUAAUCGGUAGGUGUAGAGUUUUAGAACAGUUGGCCUGACUUCAUACAACCACCAGAAGAGUAGUGCCCCUUCCACUAAACAAGCUCACAGAAAUAGUGAAAGAAAUAUUACCACUGUUAGAGCAAAUAUAGAAACACUGAUUAAGAAUUAUUAAUACUACAGGAUUGUUGCAUAUGUAGAGUUCUUGACCAUACGAACAGUAGUUCAAAAAGGUCCUCGCUUUAAAAUCUCACACUUAACUACUCAUGCACAUCUGUGAUACCCUUUGAAGAUUAGAAUACAGUAGGCUUCCAGUGUAAGUACUUACACAUCAUCAAGAGUGGCAUUGCAGCACAAGCACCUCAACUACAAGACCUUAAGAAACACCUCCCUUCCACUUUUUUCUUUCCCAAAGUCAGUUUUGCUUAGAUGACUAUAACCCAUUAUUUCAACUUCCAGCUAGCAAUGUAAUUUCUGCUAGAAUUUAAUUAAAAUUAAAGCUUUUUAAAAAAAGGACCAUUAACAGGCCAUGCAGUAAGCAUGCACCAAGGGAAAAAAAAAAAAAAAAAAAAAAAAAAAAAAAAAAAAAAACUACAUUCCAUCUAAUAUUCCCAACACAUGCAUCUGAAUCUUGGUCUUGUCAGAAGAUUUGUGGAACCUAGUCAACCCUAAAACUGUACAUACCACUUCCAUUCAGAAGCAGAAAUGGAGUCACUGGAGAGAUCAUCAAAACAACAACAACAAAAAA